rnacentral:rRNA from 1 species
AUACGUAGGGGGCAAGCGUUGUCCGGAAUGAUUGGGCGUAAAGGGCGCGUAGGCGGCGCGGUAAGUCUGGAGUGAAAGUCCUGCUUUCAAGGUGGGAAUUGCUUUGGAUACUUCCGCGCUUGAGUGCUGGAGAGGAAAGCGGAAUUCCUAGUGUAGCGGUGAAAUGCGUAGAUAUUAGGAGGAACACCAGUGGCGAAGGCGGCUUUCUGGACAGUAACUGACGCUGAGGCGCGAAAGCGUGGGUAGCGAACAGGAUUAGAUACCCUGGUAGUCCACGCCGUAAACGAUGGAUACUAGGUGUAGGAGGUAUCGACCCCUUCUGUGCCGGAGUUAACACAAUAAGUAUCCCACCUGGGGAGUACGGCCGCAAGGUUGAAACUCAAAGGAAUUGGCGGGG